UACAGAGGGUGCAAACGUUUGUUCGGAUUUACUGGGCGUAAAGCGCGUGUAGGCUGCUCCGCAAGUCGGAUGUGAAAGCCCUGGGCUCAACCCAGGAAGUGCAUUCGAAACUGCAGAGCUGGAGUCCUGGAGAGGAAGGCGGAAUUCUCGGUGUAGAGGUGAAAUUCGUAGAUAUCGAGAGGAACACCGGUGGCGAAGGCGGCCUUCUGGACAGUGACUGACGCUGAGACGCGAAAGCGUGGGGAGCAAACAGG
rnacentral:rRNA from 1 species